rnacentral:lncRNA from 1 species
UUAAAACUAAAAUAAGAUCUAAAUUAAAUAUUAAUUAAGCGGAUAUCGGUAUGUAGUUCGUCGUAAUUAGGGAAUCGAUUCUUCGUUGGUUUCUUGGUUUUAAAACAAAUCCUUUCAGUAGACACUAUUGAUUAAAAGUCUUAUCUCAAACUCUCGCUCUGUUGAAUAAACUAUGAUUUUAUAUUAACGUAGCUGUCACUUAUUAGUUAAGUCCAAAAUCACUUUUUGAAAACAAUAGAAUCCGUAGAAAC